UAUAACAAUUGGAAGAUACAGUAUUGGGAUGAAAGGUUUCCAGCAGCAGACUGUCCUUCUAGGGCCUGAAUCAGAAGUGAACGGUCAAGAACUAAAAGAACGUAUCAAUUACAAAUACAACAUCUGGAAUAGUGAUACCUGUCUCUGCAAUAUUUGUUGCUAAAACAAUCUGAAAACAAAGAAAAAGUCAGAACAUUUAGGUUCUACACUGUGUUCUACCCUUUCUAAGUGGGAGUUCAAAAGAAACUCUUCAGCAUGUAUCUCUUCAUUCAGAAUCCUGAUCAGAGAAUACAGUCAAAAUACUGAGAUGCUUCCUAACUUAAUGGCUGAUAUAUUACAAACAUAAUCAGGGAUAAACAGUCUACAGAAUAACAAAGAAGUCUUCCAAAAUUCAGAUGACUCCUGACAUCUAACCUCCUUGAUGAUGCCUUCUUGGAGAAAAACAGUGAUUUUUCUUUUUAUAAGCAAUAUCCAUGCCAUAUUUUACAACUACCACUCCCCUGAAAAGCCUAUCCCUUUAAUAAUACACACUAUAUUCUAAUACUUGAAUUUUA